UAUGGGGGGCUUAGCCACCUACUGGGGUUAACGCACAUCAUCUGUGAGAUAAGAAAAGCAGAAAGUUCUCCAUCCAACAGCAGUUGUGAAUGAGAGACACUUCUCACAGAUACUUCCAGGCUGACAGACAGAACAGAUUCCAAAUCCACAGCUACUGAAAACUGAAGAAAAAUAUUAUUCAAAAGGAAAUUUUUCCAAAGAAAAUUGUUUUCAGAGAAAAUAGCAGCAGCUAGGACCUAUGAAUUUUCCCUCCUGGGAGUACAAUGACCACCUGAAUAGUGUUACUUUGCUGGUGGACCAGGUUCUGGGAAUGGUGUGUGUCCAGGAAGUAUGGUCAUACCAGUGAUGGACUUCUGUAAAAACUGCCAAACCCAACUCUUCUCUUCAAGAACAUCAGACCAGCUUUAGUGGAUCAGCAAGGUGUCACUAAUUUUGGUGCUUGCUCCCAAAAUCUGCACAGUGUUAAAUCCACUUGCUUUCCUCACACUGAUUUUCUUUCCUCUUAAGUGGUGAUGGGCUAGGAAGUGGGUGAAUGGAUAACGUGAGAUCUUUUAUUGCUGUAUAAAUCUAUACCAUCAUACACCACUGAGACAAUUUCAGGAGAUGGCAGCUUCUCCACUGAGCACUGCUAUUGACCCAUUAAAUAGCACAGGAAAUCUCUUCUGAGGCAAUUAGCAUUUAUUUUUUUUACAUUGCGUUUCUGGUCUCUGUUUAUCCUCUUUGGCAUAGUUCAUCUCCUAUUCUGUCAUUUCUCUCCUGCAGCUGUUUUCCUCUAUGAGACACUCUCUUCCAUAUGCCCCCCUAUUGCAUCUUGCACUUUCCUUUCUGUAUUUAAUUUGUUUCCUUAUUCACACCUAUAAUGCCCUCUGACUCACACUUAUUCUGUGCAAGUCACUGGGAAAUAUGUACAUUUUCUUUUCCUAAAUUCAUGCAACAUUUCACAUUUUUUCCAGCUUCCUCUUCUGUGUUGCCUACACAAGGGCUGAGAGGGUUUUAUUCUACACUGAGUGAAAACCAGAUUAAGGUUGGCUGUUUAAUGCAAUGUUACUCAUACUUCAAAGGGAUGAAGACAGAGAUGAAGUUUUACCGUCUUGAUGGCUUAACGUGUCUGUCUCAUAAAGCCAGCACUUCAUUUUCUGAGUCAUUCUCUCAUGGAGGGAGUCUGCUUUACAUAUCAGGCCUCAGGGUGUGGUGUGGGAAGUACUCUGUGGAUUAUUUUCCUGCUAUUGCUGGAGGCUGUUUGCUUGCUGCCUAUUGAAGUACAUAACCGAGAGGCAAGAAGAUAAGGUUCUGACAUUUCUGAUUAAAAUUUUAACUGCUU